rnacentral:rRNA from 1 species
AUUGAACGCUGGCGGCAGGCCUAACACAUGCAAGUCGAACGAGUGGCGGACGUGUGAGUAAUGUCUGGGAAACUGCCCGAUGGAGGGGGAUAACUACUGGAAACGGUAGCUAAUACCGCAUACCAUCGGAUGUGCCCAGAUGGGAUUAGCUAGUAGGUGGGGUAACGGCUCACCUAGGCGACGAUCCCUAGCUGGUCUGAGAGGAUGACCAGCAAGAAUGGAACUGAGACACGGUCCAGACUCCUACGGGAGGCAGCAGGGGGGAAUAGGGGACAAUGGGCGCAAGCCUGAUGCAGCCAUGCCGCGUGUAUGAAGAAGGCCUUCGGGUUGUAAAGUACUUUCAGCGAGGAGGCGUUACUCGCAGAAGAAGCACCGGCUAACUCCGUGCCAGCAGCCGCGGUAAUAC